UAUAGAGGGUGCGAGCGUUGUCCGGAAUCACUGGGCGUAAAGGGCGCGUAGGCGGCUCGGUAAGCGUGCGGUGAAAGCCCGGGGCUCAACCCCGGGUCGGCCGUGCGAACUGCAGAGCUGGAGCACUUUAGAGGCAGGUGGAAUUCCGGGUGUAGCGGUGGAAUGCGUAGAGAUCCGGAAGAACACCGGUGGCGAAGGCGGCCUGCUGGGCAGUUGCUGACGCUGAGGUGCGAAAGCUAGGGGAGCGAACGGG
rnacentral:rRNA from 1 species